CUUUCUUUUUCUGCCCUCGGCCUCGCUCUUGCGCACGGGACCACAAUGCUCCGCGCCGCUUGUCAUUGGGAGGCGCCGAAGGUGGGGGGGGUCGGCUCGGAAGGAAAAGCAAUCACAGGAAUAUAUAAAACAUGAGCAGAAAGAGGCCUUUGGAGAAAUCUGGACCAGCAUUCUCAUUUUACGGAUGAGGGACCGCAGCCCAUGGAGGUUUCCAUAGAUGAUUGGAAAAACCCAAGAGUUGGUCCUCUGUUCCAGACCCCACACAGACACAAACCUACAAGCCAAGGGAGCCAGUAUUUGGCCAUUCUUCCAUCCAUCUGCAUGUCCCAGGGAUGCACAAACAGGGAACACUUCAGCCUUUCGGCUGCCUUCAAAGAAGCAAUGAGAGAGAGAGAGAGGGUUACUUUGAUGAGUGAGCAGAUACCAGAAACACCAAGGAAGGCUCUGGUCUAAACCUUGCCCUCACUCCUGUCUUCUGGCUCCUGACCACCCUGGUGUCUUCCCCUGUGGCCCUGCAAGGCAUAUCAUGCUUCCUGUCUCUAGGA
rnacentral:antisense_RNA from 1 species